UACGUAGGGUGCAAGCGUUAAUCGGAAUUACUGGGCGUAAAGCGUGCGCAGGCGGUUGUGUAAGACAGAUGUGAAAUCCCCGGGCUCAACCUGGGAACUGCAUUUGUGACUGCACAGCUGGAGUGCGGCAGAGGGGGAUGGAAUUCCGCGUGUAGCAGUGAAAUGCGUAGAUAUGCGGAGGAACACCGAUGGCGAAGGCAAUCCCCCGGGCCUGCACUGACGCUCAUGCACGAAAGCGUGGGGAGCAAACAGG
rnacentral:rRNA from 1 species